GGGUCAGUAGGUUGGUCGUGCCACCGGUACGUACUGGUCUAACUGAUUCCUCCUUCCUGAAGAACCGUAAUGCCAUUAAUUUGGUGUUGCGGUGUAACAGGACUUUUACUUUGAAAAAAUUAGAGUGUUUAAAGCAAGCUAACGCUUGAAUACAUUAGCAUGGAAUAAUGAAAUAGGACGAUCGAUCCUAUUUUGUUGGUUUCUAGGAUUGACGUA
rnacentral:rRNA from 1 species